rnacentral:rRNA from 1 species
ACGGAAGGCAGCAGUAGGGAAUAUUGGACAAUGGGGGAAACCCUGAUCCAGCGACGCCGCGUGAGUGAAGAAAUAUUUCGGUAUGUAAAGCUCUAUCAGCAGGGAAGAAAAUGACGGUACCUGACUAAGAAGCACCGGCUAAAUACGUGCCAGCAGCCGCGGUAAUACGUAUGGUGCAAGCGUUAUUCGGAUUUACUGGGUGUAAAGGGAGCGUAGACGGCAUGGCAAGUCUGAAGUGAAAUGCGGGGGCUCAACCCCUGAACUGCUUUGGAAACCGUCAAGCUAGAGUGUCGGAGAGGUAAGUGGAAUUCCUAGUGUAGCGGUGAAAUGCGUAGGUAUUAGGAGGAACACCAGUGGCGAAGGCGGCUUACUGGACGAUAACUGACGUUGAGGCUCGAAAGCGUGGGGAGCAAACAGGAUUAGAUACCCUGGUA